rnacentral:rRNA from 1 species
AUUGAACGCUGGUGGCAGGCCUAACACAUGCAAGUCGAGCGGCAUCGAGUGAUCGCAGUUUACUGAGUUCAUGUCGGCGAGCGGCGGACGGGUGAGUAAAGUCUGGGAAUCUGGCCGAAGGAGGGGGAUAACUGCUGGAAACGGCAGCUAAUACCGCAUGAAGUCGCGAGACCAAAGUGGGGGACCUUCGGGCCUCACGCCUUCGGAUGAGCCCAGAUGAGAUUAGCUGGUAGGUAAGGUAAAGGCUUACCUAGGCGACGAUCUCUAGCGGGUCUGAGAGGAUAGCCCGCCACACUGGAACUGAGACACGGUCCAGACUCAUACGGGAGGCAGCAGUGGGGAAUAUUGCACAAUGGGCGAAAGCCUGAUGCAGCC